GGAAAAUUUUCCGCAAUGGGCGAAAGCCUGACGGAGCAAGACCGCGUGGGGGAGGAAGGUUCUUGGAUUGUCAACCCCUUUUCUCAGGGAAGAACGCAAUGACGGUACCUGAGGAAAAAGCAUCGGCUAACUCCGUGCCAGCAGCCGCGGUAAUACGGGGGAUGCAAGCGUUAUCCGGAAUGAUUGGGCGUAAAGAGUCCGUAGGUAGUCAUCCAAGUCUGCUGUUAAAGAGCGAGGCUUAACCUCGUAAAGGCAGUGGAAACUGGAAGACUAGAGUGUAGUAGGGGCAGAGGGAAUUCCUGGUGUAGCGGUGAAAUGCGUAGAGAUCAGGAAGAAC
rnacentral:rRNA from 1 species